AUUGAACGCUGGCGGCAUGCUUUACACAUGCAAGUCGAACGGUAACAGGCCGCAAGGUGCUGACGAGUGGCGAACGGGUGAGUAAUGCAUCGGAACGUGCCCAGUCGUGGGGGAUAACGCAGCGAAAGCUGCGCUAAUACCGCAUACGAUCUAUGGAUGAAAGCGGUGGACCGUAAGGCCUCGCGCGAUUGGAGCGGCCGAUGUCAGAUUAGGUAGUUGGUGGGGUAAAGGCUCACCAAGCCAACGAUCUGUAGCUGGUCUGAGAGGACGACCAGCCACACUGGGACUGAGACACGGCCCAGACGCCUACGGGAGGCAGCAGUGGGGAAUUUUGGACAAUGGGCGCAAGCCUGAUCCAGCAAUGCCGCGUGCAGGAAGAAGGCCUUCGGGUUGUAAACUGCUUUUGUACGGAACGAAACGGCUCUCACUAAUACUGGGGGCUAAUGACGGUACCGUAAGAAUAAGCACCGGCUAACUACGUGCCAGCAGCCGCAGUAAGAC
rnacentral:rRNA from 1 species